ACAUCGGAACGUGUCCUGUAGUGGGGGAUAGCCCGGCGAAAGCCGGAUUAAUACCGCAUACGAUCUGUGGAUGAAAGCGGGGGAUCUUCGGACCUCGCGCUACAGGGGCGGCCGAUGGCAGAUUAGCUAGUUGGUGGGGUAAAGGCCUACCAAGGCGACGAUCUGUAGCUGGUCUGANAGGACGACCAGCCACACUGGGACUGANACACGGCCCANACUCCUACGGGAGGCAGCAGUGGGGAAUUUUGGACAAUGGGCGCAAGCCUGAUCCAGCAAUGCCGCGUGUGUGAANAAGGCCUUCGGGUUGUAAAGCACUUUUGUCCGGAAAGAAAACCUCUUGGUUAAUACCUGAGGGGGAUGACGGUACCGGAAGAAUAAGCACCGGCUAACUACGUGCCAGCAGCCGCGGUAAUACGUAGGGUGCAAGCGUUAAUCGGAAUUACUGGGCGUAAAGCGUGCGCAGGCGGUUCGCUAAGACAGAUGUGAAAUCCCCGGGCUUAACCUGGGAACUGCAUUUGUGACUGGCGGGCUAGAGUAUGGCAGAGGGGGGUAGAAUUCCACGUGUAGCAGUGAAAUGCGUAGAGAUGUGGAGGAAUACCGAUGGCGAAGGCAGCCCCCUGGGCCAAUACUGACGCUCAUGCACGAAAGCGUGGGGAGCAAACAGGAUUAGAUACCCUGGUAGUCCACGCCCUAAACGAUGUCAACUAGUUGUCGGGUCUUCAUUGACUUGGUAACGUAGCUAACGCGUGAAGUUGACCGCCUGGGGAGUACGGUCGCAAGAUUAAAACUCAAAGGAAUUGACGGGGACCCGCACAAGCGGUGGAUGAUGUGGAUUAAUUCGAUGCAACGCGAAAAACCUUACCUACCCUUGACAUGUAUGGAAUCCUGCUGAGAGGUGGGAGUGCCCGAAAGGGAGCCAUAACACAGGUGCUGCAUGGCUGUCGUCAGCUCGUGUCGUGAGAUGUUGGGUUAAGUCCCGCAACGAGCGCAACCCUUGUCCCUAGUUGCUACGCAAGAGCACUCUAGGGAGACUGCCGGUGACAAACCGGAGGAAGGUGGGGAUGACGUCA
rnacentral:rRNA from 1 species